rnacentral:sRNA from 21 species
CCCGUCACGCCUCUCAAUGAUGCGCACCACGACGGGU